CGACGUAAAGAAACUUAGCCUCACAGCUAGGGACAACAUUUAGAAAUGAAUGCUAAUACCUGAUAUUAUGAUUUUAGGUCAUCUUAGAAUUAUGAAAGCUAUAAGCACUGUGAGAGAGCUUUGCGUCCCAUUAGCUAGUUGGAGAGGUAACAGCUCACCAAGGCGAUGAUGGGUAGCCGGCCUGAGAGGGUGAACGGCCACAAGGGAACUGAGACACGGCCCUU
rnacentral:rRNA from 1 species